CCAUCAUCACUAGAAACCACUGGCACGGAAUGAUCAGAUAGUCUGGCUUUUGGCAGAACAACGGCUUGUUAUCUGUGAUCAGUGUGUGCUACCCAGCUGAAUUCUCACAACAGGCUUCACAUUCGGGGAGUUGCAGCACCACACCAAUUUGCCUUGAGCACAAAAGUAAGCAGUAAACCGAGUAUUGAGGAAUCUGACAAGAGGUGACAGGUGGUGGUUCUCUGCUGCUUUACCUGCCAGGCAGAUGGGCCUGGUGUCGCCAGUGUCUCC